UGUUAAAAAUUUCAUCAAUUUUUAAUGUUAAAACUAGUCUCUAUAUGUUAAAAUAAGGUACACAUGAUAUGUCAUGUGUAACUCUGUUACAGUUUUUAACCGUAGAAAUAGAUGAAAUUUUUAAUA
rfam:Gossypium raimondii Chr13_contig_1284, whole genome shotgun sequence.